GUGCCAGCCGCCGCGGUAACACGUAGGGGGCAAGCGUUGUCCGGAUUUAUUGGGCGUAAAGAGCUCGUAGGCGGUUCGAUAAGUCGGGUGUGAAAACUCUGGGCUCAACUCAGAGACGCCACCCGAUACUGUCGUGACUCGAGUCCGGUAGGGGAGUAUGGAAUUUCCGGUGUAGCGGUGAAAUGCGCAGAUAUCAGAAGGAACACCAGUAGCGAAGGCGGUACUCUGGGCCGGAACUGACGCUGAGGAGCGAAAGCGUGGGGAGCGAACAGGAUUAGAAACCCCCGUAGUCC
rnacentral:rRNA from 1 species